GAAUGGCUUAUUCAACCCAAUUUGUUGCAGAUGCUUAGGCUGCAUGCCUAUGAAUCUAUCCAACUGUCUACACACUUGCAUAGAAGCGAAGGCAGAACAGGCAGAAUGCUAUAAAUAAAUAAAUAAAAGCUACGUUUCCAGCCUAGUAGGCCCAAAUGAUUGCUUGCACAAAAAGAAGCUUCAAGUGUGAGUGUGAAACAGUCUGAUUAUUGUAGGGCAAAUCUGAGUUGUUAAUAUGAAAAAUAUGAGGAAGGAUUUGUAUAGACCUCCGGGCAUUGUGGCUAUGAUGUCACUGUUUGAUGAUCCAGACCAUGAUUUUUAACAAAAAGAAAAAAGAAAAAAGAAAAAAAAAAAAGGUGGAUAGUUGUAAGGGACAGUUUUAACAUCAACUUGAUUUUUUUAUCAAAUAAUACAAACACUGUUGUUUCAAAAUAUCAGAUGUGAAAGCCAAUACAUAUUAUAUUCAACCAUUAUUGCAGUGUUCAAGUUUUUUUU
rnacentral:lncRNA from 1 species